UGCGCAGGCGGCCCAAUAAGUCAGAGGUGAAAUAUGACGGCUCAACCGUCAAACGGCCCCUGAAACUGUUGGGCUUGAGUUCGAGAGAGGUAGGUGGAAUUCCAGGUGUAGCGGUGAAAUGCGUAAAUAUCUGGAGGAACACCGGUGGCGAAGGCGGCCUACUGGCUCGAUACUGACGCUCAGGCACGAAAGCAUGGGGAGCGAACAGGAUUAGAUACCCUGGUAGUCC
rnacentral:rRNA from 1 species